ensembl:lncRNA
CCGCGUGCCAGCUGCCGACUGCAAGGCCAGCUAAAUGUUUCAGCUUCAGUCAAUCACGUCCGCAGAUUCUAAAACAAUUGGAGCCAAUCACGUUCGCACAGUCGAAAACAUUUCACCAAUCACGGCAGAAAUCCUGGAGAGCGACGUCAGGCACACGGCAGAAAUUCUGGAGGGCGACGUUACAUUGCUUACGCUAGACCUGAGGGGGCGGGUAAUUCAAAGAGUGAAGCUAGCCGGAUGCUUAAGGAAUCAACCGAGGCAGAUUAUCGACAUGGCAACAUCUUUAAAGUCACACAAGGUGAUGGCAGACACAGAGUUGAUUACCAUUGGCAGGAAGGUGUCAAACCCCCGUAUCGGGGUGGAGUCGUUGCUGGUGACGGUCAUCAGAAAAGCACCAGCCCAGCAGAAGGGAGAGCCAGAGUCUGGCCGGGGAAGUGCUUCAGACUCUAGACAGAGAAGGCCUACAAGACAUAAAUGCAGUUGGAAAUUCCUCGUGGGGGAGAGC